rnacentral:tRNA from 1 species
UUAAAGAUAAGCUAAAAUAAGCUAUCGGGCUCAUAACCCGAACAUGAUUAUAUCUCUUUAAA